UGAAACCUUCUUCCCCUGAGCUACUAGAUUCAGAGUUGCAUCAAACUUCCUCCCAAACAUGACAUCAGUCCUCUAAUCGCAGCAUCAAAUCAAGCAAGUGACAUAUAACAAGCUGAAAAUUGCUUCAGGUCAAUCGCAGCAGAACUCUCAUGGCCAUUCCUCCCCAACAAUAGAACCAGAGGUAACUCCAGUUAAUGCUACUGCAUUUUCGACGAUGGAACCCAAGUUUCAGAUCAACCCAUCAAACAGCUUCAACAUGAGACCAAUGACGCUCAUCUCUUCACAUCUUCGAUGAAUUUAACAAGACUUUCUUAGUAUAGUGAUGUGUCAUCCAACAGUUUCUCUCACAAAAACAAACACCAAUAUGCAACAAAGGUUUUCUAGUUCAUGGUGGCAAUAAAUACAAUCGUUACUCUCAUCCUCUGAUCUCAGAGCCGGAUUAUCAAACAGUUCAGGCAGAAGUCGUUUUUCACCACAAGCUCUUUGUCAACUUCCCUCUCUCGUAAUUACAAGAUCUCGCCUAAAGCUUUUCAUGAUCCC